rnacentral:ncRNA from 1 species
CGUGACAAAGGCAAACCGUUCGAGAGGACGGGGCGCAAAACCACGGGUCCGUGAGUGGUACGGUGGAUCGAUUUCCGAUCCAAAGUAUUGCUUCAGGAUUGCCAGGUUGCCACGG